AAAUAAUUACAGAAACAAAAUUAUUCGCCAGAGUACUACCGGCAACAGCCCGAAACUCAAAGGACUUGGCGGUGCUUUAUACCCUUCUAGAGGAGCCUGUUCUAUAAUCGAUAAACCCCGAUAAACCUCACCAAUCCUUGCUAAUACAGUCUAUAUACCGCCAUCUUCAGCAAACCCUAAAAAGGAACAAAAGUAAGCUCAAUCACAACACAUAAAGACGUUAGGUCAAGGUGUAACCCAUGGAAUGGGAAGAAAUGGGCUACAUUUUCUACCUUAAGAAAAUUAAUACGAAAGCCAUUAUGAAAUUAAUGACCAAAGGAGGAUUUAGUAGUAAACUAAGAAUAGAGUGCUUAGUUGAAUUAGGCCAUGAAGCACGCACACACCGGCCGUCACCCUCA
rnacentral:rRNA from 1 species